rnacentral:rRNA from 1 species
UACGGAGGGUGCGAGCGUUGUCCGGAAUUACUGGGCGUAAAGCGCACGUAGCGGCUUUGUAAGUUAGAGGUGAAAGCCCCCGGCUCAACUGGGGAAGGGUCACGCGAUACUGCUCGACUCGAAGGCAGGAGAGGGAAGUGGAAUUCCCGGUGUAGUGGUGAAAUUCGUAGAUAUUAGGAAGAACACCAGUGGCGAAGGCGGCUCACUGGCCCGGUACUGACGCUGAGGCGCGAAAGCGUGGGGAGCAACAGG